UAGGGGAGUAUUACUUUCUUUAUCUUGAUUUUCCUUUUUACACAUUGAGGACAAUGUGUAUGUUAAGUGUGGGGGGAGAAUUGAGAUUAUAUACAUUGUAUGUGAUUGAAUUAUUAGUUGCAAAUAUUGGACUUGUGUUAAAAUUCAAAAUUUUUCUAAAAUCUUGUCCAAAAUUGCAAACUUGCCCCAAAAAGUUUCAUAUUUUUUCGAUUUUAUCCAAGGGGUAACAAGUUUCAUACCAUUAGUAGUUCAAAUUCCUUCUACAUUUGAGAUAAAUAU
rnacentral:lncRNA from 1 species